AACGAACGCUGGCGGCAUGCCUAACACAUGCAAGUCGAACGAGACCUUCGGGUCUAGUGGCGCACGGGUGCGUAACGCGUGGGAACAUGCCCUUAGGUUCGGAAUAACUCCCCGAAAGGGGUGCUAAUACCGGAUAAUGUCUUCGGACCAAAGAUUUAUCGCCUUUGGAUGGGCCAGCGUUGGAUUAGCUAGUUGGUAGGGUAAAAGCCUACCAAGGCGACGAUCCAUAGCUGGUCUGAGAGGAUGAUCAGCCACACUGGGACUGAGACACGGCCCAGACUCCUACGGGAGGCAGCAGUGGGGAAUAUUGGACAAUGGGCGAAAGCCUGAUCCAGCAAUGCCGCGUGAGUGAUGAAGGCCUUAGGGUUGUAAAGCUCUUUUACCCGGGAUGAUAAUGACAGUACCGGGUGAAUAAGCUCCGGCUAACUCCGUG
rnacentral:rRNA from 1 species